CAGCCGUAUAUCCAGUCAUCAUCUCAUCACAGUACAGCUUCUCUUGUUGAUGCUGGCCACAGCUAGAUUACUUGGCAUGUUUAUUGACCUAACAGAAUUGGUUUUGGGUUUUGGUUUUGUUUUUUAAUGUAUACGAUGUUUAAAUACACUUCACAUUUUCUAUAAUACUAUCUGGCUAUUAGUAUUUUUCAGGAACCAUAGUUCUUGGUGGCUAUAUAUAUUUUUGUGACUUUUUUUGUAAACUAAGUGCCGUUUCAACGUUACAAUCAUUUUUAGAGUUAUUGUAAUCAAUGUGAAUAUCAUGUUUUUUCAAAUCUGUUCUGAGCCUGUAGUGUUUGCUUUGUGAUCAUAUGUGUAAUGUAUAUAUUCUGUAUAGUUACAUUGUAUUGAAAUACUAGCUUGUUUGAUAUAAGAAAAGUAUGUAUUGGGUACCUUUUUGCUAGCCUGGUUGUUUAAUCUUUAAAAAAAAAGUUCCAAAAUACAAAAAAAAAAUAUCUCCAAACUGGUCCCAUUAUAGGUCAAAAUUAAGGGGGGAGAAAAACUAGUUUUGAGUGUCUUUGGAUAGAAAUAUGAAGCUAAGAUUUUUCAUUAAAAUAUUAAUGUUUUAUGGAGUAUAUCUUUGCUUUGUGUGGUUAUUUAACUCUGGCAGUGUUUGCCUUGCAGUACUACAGAGUAACCUGGACCUUCAGUGAGAAGGUGCAGCUCUGUCCCUUGAGCUACAUUCUCUUCCAGCUUUGCUUACAACUAGUCCCAAAAGAGCUGAUGUGAGGAGAGCUCGCUGGUGCUGAAGCUGCCACUGGGAGGAAGCCCCACCUGUGUGAGUGAGCUGCAACCCUGGCUGGAUCAACACAUAACUUGGGAAAUGGCAGCUUGGCACCCUUACAAAGCAAGUGCACACUGUUGAAGCUUUUUGUGUGGCUUCCUUGGAGCAUUCAGCAUUUUCUUCCUGCCAGUAAUGAAGGAUUCUUUCUUUUGCUUGGAGGAGAGUGAGCUAGGACCAAACUCAGCUACUGAGAACGAGGCAGAGCAGGGACAAGAGUUCUCCCAGGCUGAUUACACCAUUUCUACCCAGAAUCUGACAUGGUCUAGACUUUUUAAAAGAAAAAACAAUGUCAGCUACAAACAGAUUGCUUUUAAAUAUGAAGGAACAUAGGUGGGGUAAGUAUUGGGUACAAUUCACUGAUGUCAAAAUAAAGUCCUUAAUUAUUUGGUGGCUUGAAGGAUU
rnacentral:lncRNA from 1 species